GAUGAACGCUGGCGGCGUGCCUAAUACAUGCAAGUCGAACGAGGUGCUUUUGUAGCAAUACGAGAGUAUCCUAGUGGCGAACGGGUGAGUAACGCGUUGGUGACCUACCCCAAAGUGUGGGAUAACAGUCCGAAAGGACUGCUAAUACCGCAUGUGGUUAUUGGAUCUAGAAACCGGUAACUAAAGGAGCAAUUCGCUUUGGGAGGGACCUGCGUCCCAUCAGCUAGUUGGUGAGGUAAUGGCUCACCAAGGCGACGACGGGUAGGGGACCUGAGAGGGUGGCCCCCCACAAUGGAACUGAAACACGGUCCAUACACCUACGGGUGGCAGCAGUAGGGAAUAUUGCACAAUGGGCGAAAGCCUGAUGCAGCAACGCCGCGUGUGUGAUGAAGGCCUUCGGGUCGUAAAGCACUUUUCUGGGAGAUGAGAAAGGACAGUAUCCCAGGAAUAAGUCUCGGCUAACUACGUGCCAGCCGCCGCAGUAAGAC
rnacentral:rRNA from 1 species